GGAAAACAACACUAAUAUAAAUUCUAAUUCUAAUUCAAUUAUUAGAUAAUUACAGGGCCCUUAGCAAGCAAUAGAAUACAAAAUUCUACAAUUAAAGGCUUUACUAAACAUACAUAAAUAAAACUGCUAAAAGCUUAGAUUGCAGAAAAUAUAGCUCUAUAAAAUGCACUAAAAAUAAGAGCCAAAAAUAUAUCAAAAACUAUUAAUCUUUUACAAGGCAAAAAAAUUAAGGGAUAAGAAAAUGAUUAGAAAAUAUUAGCCACGUCAGUUGUUCUUGAAAUUGUCAUGGAAGGAUACAUUAGUAACAUGCUAAAUGUUGGGCAGAAGACUAUAAAGCACUCCUUUGAAAGAGAAGGGUUUCAAGACAAGAAAAAAUUCUAGGAUUGAUACAAAGUUUGAGUUGUACCCAUCUAAUAAAGAAUUUUUCUUUUUGUCUUAAAAAUUAAUAAACAAGCUUUAUACUGAAGGCAUAAUAUUUUGGGCCAGAUUACUCCACUUGAAAAUCAAGUUCUCGAGAUCUUUAGCAUGGUGUUAUCGACUGGCUCCUUUCAUGAUAAUAAUGAAGUCAUUUAUUAGUGUAGUUGUGUUGCGUUUGCCGGUUCGUUGGUAUGUAUGUGCUAAGAUUUAAUUAGCCCUUUUAGUGAUAAAAAAAAGAAGUAGCUUUGAUGUUUGAAGGAGAUGAGGAAUACUAGUCAAUAAAGUUUACAGAUGCUCGUGAAAUGAGAGAAAAAUGGAAGUAAGAGAAUAGGCAAACCUUUUCACAGUAGAGGAGCUAACGUGGUUACUUAAGCCACGAAUCAUAAUACACACAACCCAAAACUUAAACUAUGUAAGCUAUAUAUAAUUCUAAGCUUAAUUAAUGUCAAGCUUGCACUUGCACACCAUGUACACUCUAUGGAUAAAUAGACUCACCCAUGUUUGUUUUUCCCUCUGGAAUCAAUCGGCCAGUAACCACCACCGUAGCCACCUGCACCACCACCGCCACCUGAAUUACCUGACCCACUUCCAGCCCCAUACCCACCACCACCACCACCGUGUGCACCACCACUGCCAGACCCAUAACCAUAUCCUGAUCCUGACCCACUUCCAGACCCA
rnacentral:misc_RNA from 1 species